AACGAACGCUGGCGGCAUGCCUAACACAUGCAAGUCGAACGAAGCCUUCGGGCUUAGUGGCGCACGGGUGCGUAACACGUGGGAAUCUGCCCUUUGGUUCGGAAUAACAGUUAGAAAUGACUGCUAAUACCGGAUAAUGACGUAAGUCCAAAGAUUUAUCGCCGAAGGAUGAGCCCGCGUAGGAUUAGGUAGUUGGUGGGGUAAUGGCCCACCAAGCCGACGAUCCUUAGCUGGUCUGAGAGGAUGAUCAGCCACACUGGGACUGAGACACGGCCCAGACUCCUACGGGAGGCAGCAGUGGGGAAUAUUGGACAAUGGGCGAAAGCCUGAUCCAGCAAUGCCGCGUGAGUGAUGAAGGCCUUAGGGUUGUAAAGCUCUUUUACCAGGGAUGAUAAUGACAGUACCUGGAGAAUAAGCUCCGGCUAACUCCGUGCCAGCAGCCGCGGUAAUGUACAGUGU
rnacentral:rRNA from 1 species